rnacentral:rRNA from 1 species
UACGGGGGGAGCAAGCGUUGUUCGGAUUUACUGGGCGUAAAGGGCGCGUAGGCGGCCAGCGCAAGUCAGUUGUGUAAAUCUCCGAGCUUAACUCGGAAAGGUCAACUGAUACUGCGCGGCUAGAGUGCAGAAGGGGCAACUGGAAUUCUCGGUGUAGCGGUGAAAUGCGUAGAUAUCGAGAGGAACACCUGCGGCGAAGGCGGGUUGCUGGGCUGACACUGACGCUGAUG